rnacentral:rRNA from 1 species
AACAAACGCUGGCGGCGUGCCUAAUACAUGCAAGCCGAACGGGGAAAGCUUUCGGGUGAGUACUAGUGGCGCACGGGUGAGUAACGCGUGGAUAAUCUGCCUUGAAGAGGGGGAUAACCAGUCGAAAGAUUGGCUAAUACCGCAUAAGACCACAGGAACUGAGGUUCUAGAGGUCAAAGGUUUUUCGCUUCAAGAUGAGUCCGCGUAAGAUUAGCUAGUUGGUGAGGUAACGGCUCACCAAGGCGACGAUCUUUAACUGGUCUGAGAGGAUGAUCAGUCACACUGGAACUGAGACACGGUCCAGACUCCUACGGGAGGCAGCAGUAGGGAAUAUUGCACAAUGGAGGAAACUCUGAUGCAGCGACGCCGCGUGAGUGAUGAAGGCCUUCGGGUCGUAAAGUUCUGUCGCAGGGGAAUAACACAAUGAAUGUACCCUGUAAGAAAGGAUCGGCUAACUUCGUGCCAGCCGCCGCGGUAACAC